GACGAACGCUGGCGGCGUGCUUAACACAUGCAAGUCGGACGGUAAGGCCCUUCGGGGUACACGAGUGGCGAACGGGUGAGUAACACGUGGGUGAUCUGCCCUGCACUUCGGGAUAAGCCUGGGAAACUGGGUCUAAUACCGGAGAGGACCACUGCCUGCAUGGGUGGUGGUGGAAAGCUUUUGCGGUGUGGGAUGGGCCCGCGGCCUAUCAGCUUGUUGGUGGGGUGAUGGCCUACCAAGGCGACGACGGGUAGCCGGCCUGAGAGGGUGACCGGCCACACUGGGACUGAGAUACGGCCCAGACUCCUACGGGAGGCAGCAGUGGGGAAUAUUGCACAAUGGGCGCAAGCCUGAUGCAGCGACGCCGCGUGAGGGAUGACGGCCUUCGGGUUGUAAACCUCUUUCAGCACCGACGAAGCGCAAGUGACGGUAGGUGCAGAAGAAGGACCGGCCAACUACGUGCCAGCCGCCGCGGUAACAC
rnacentral:rRNA from 1 species